CACUGAGCUACACGUAUCUUCCCGUUUUUCGUCACCAAUUGGAAUUCCCUUCAUUGAUGACAAUCAGCAAACGAUGUUCAAUAAGGAAAUCAUAAAGGCAGAUCUAACUCAUAAUUAAGAAGUUAUAUAAAUCGAUGUAAAUAACUGUUGAUGAUUGAAAUUAAGAAAUAUGUUACAUCAGGUUAGGUUUACCUUAAUGCUACGUAGCCAAUUGCAAUGACUCAUGAUAAUUGAUACUUUUGGUGGGAUAAAAAUAGAAAAAAAAACGUAAAACUUUUUUUUGUUUAGUUAAUCGUUUUGAUAAAUGUCAUUCAUUAAAGAAAAGCGUUGAAACAUAUGAUCACGGUCUUGUGACGAAAUGUCAAAUUGCUUUACUGGUAAUAAAAUUAACUGGAAGUGUAUUUUUUGAAUCCGGCUUGAUCGAUAUGAUACUAAUAGAAAUUAUUGGAAAGGAAAAACAUAUUCCUGGUGAAGAUCAUUCAUUUGUUUCAUUUUGAAAAGAAUAAAUUUAAAAGAAAAAAAAACUUGUAAAUAGAAGAGGAAAUGAUCUCGUUAACACGAAAAGAAACUACCGAAAGUUGACCAUAUUUCUUGAAACUUUCAUACUUUGAAGAAGAAUAGAGAUCACAUUCUCCCUAAUUAUCAUUUGUUCAAUAACGAAUGUUAAUUCUUAAAUAAGAAUAGAGCAAGAAAUAUCUGGAUUAUAGAGCUGAAGAUAAUUAAACACAAUGCUGUGAGUAUUGUCUUGAGGAUAUGAUGAUAAGAAGGCCAGAGGCAGAAAGUCUAGUGAUUAUAGUCAUGGUGGGGCUCAUAGAUAUUUGAAAAAAAAAGUUGAAGGCAUGACUUUGGAGUUCAGAAACAUUUUUUCAAGCUCAGAAUUGCUGAAGCAUGGAAUAAACUAAAUGCAUCAGUUGUUAGCUGUCAAAAUACUACUUCCUUCAAAACUUCCAUUCGCCAACAAUACACCUUUUUAAACAAUUCAUUCACUGUUCGCUUUCUGUACAUUAUUCUAUGUAACUGUUCAUGCAGUUUUGAUUUCCUUUUUCUGAUGAGCUAUAGUGCAACUGAGCACUGUACACAAUAAAUUCAUUAUUAUUCAGUAAAUUGCAUAAAGAACAAUGAUUAUAUAAUUCACUAGGUGUUCAUUUAAAGGGAGAUAACUGUUUUUAACCGUUUAAUGCAUUAUCUCUCAUAGGUGGUGCUGCUGCUGCUGCCGCUGUGAGGACUGAGUAAGGAAUGGAGGGCAAACUGCCAUGCUUAGUAAAAUUAAAAAUGGUUUUCUAAACAUUCAUGGCAGAGAAAGAAGAAUUAUAUAGAAGCAAAUUCUAUUUUGUGUUCUUAUUAACAGAGUUGGGAAGGCAAGGUUGGGGUAUUUGUCAGCUUGAAACUCACUGUGGCUGUGUGGUAAAAAGCUUGCUUCCCAACCACAUAGUUCCAGGUUCAGUCCCUCUGCGUAGCACAUUGGGCAACUAUAGUUCCAAGCUGACCAAAAUGCUUUGCAGCGUUUCUCCCAACCUCACGUUCUGAGUUCAAAUACCACCAAAGUCAAAUUUUACCACAUAAAAGGCACCUGUACUGGGGCUUCAUAAAAAUCACUUGUGCUGUUCAUGUAAAAAGCCCCCAGUACACUCUGUAAAGCAGUUAGCGUUAGGAAGGGCAUCCUAGCCGUAGAAACUAUGCCAAAGCAGACAAUUGGAGCCUGGUGCAGCCGUCCAGCAUACCAGCUCCUGUUAAACCAUUCAUCCCAUACCAGUAUGGAAAACAUGUUAAGUGAAGAUGAUGAGAGUUUUUUUUUUACCAUAGAUAUCAAGCUGCAUAUUUUGGGAUUAGAUUUAGUCAACUAGAACUUGAAUGAUACUUAUUUUGUGAAUUCUAGAACCCAGGAAAGACAAAAUUGAACUCAGCAUAAUUUUCUCUAAUGCUCUGUUGAUUUUAUUUCUAAAAUAUUACAGUGCCAUAGAAUUUCAAAGUAGCCAAACUGCCCUCAAGUCAUAACCCACUGUUUGAAAAACAAGAAGAAAACUUGGAUAGUGUAUUUUUAGAUGCCCCUAUAAAGAUAGGAUUGUCCAGACUUGGGCAUCUUUGUUUAACCCCCUUGUCUGUUCAAAAGAGAUGAUAUAGGGCUGAGAUACUUGGUGCAUUGCUGUACUCAAGAAGACCCAUCCACCACAGCAAAAUUGUUAAUGCCCUCUUCCAGCUGAAGGGGCUUUUGCAUUGCAAGAACCCUGUGUGGUGCUAUGUAAAAAGCACCCAUGCCAGGCCACAUGAGAAGUACCCAACAUACUCUGUAAAGUGGUUGGUGUUAGGAAAGGCAGAUAGCCAUAGAAACCAAGCUGAAUCAGACAGGAACCUGGUGCAAGUUUCCAGCUGGCCAGCUCCCUGUCAAACCGUCCAACCCAUGCCAGCAUGGAAAACAUGCAUUAAAGGAUGAUGUAGGAAAUGGUGUAAGGGAAUUGUUGAUGCUAUUUCUAGCAGGUCAUGCUCUUUCAUUUGAUAUUUAUCUCUUGAUUAUGUAUAUUUUUCAAUUACUUCUGGGUAUGUUAUUAAACAAGAGUUAUUUCAGAGGCCAAUGUAUGUUGUAUUUUAUUGGCAAAUCUCAAGUUAUUGUUUCAUCUGAAAUGUACUAACUGCUAAUAAAAUCAUUUUCUUAUUUUAA